rnacentral:rRNA from 1 species
CAAUAGCGUAUAUUAAAGUUGUUGCAGUUAAAAAGCUCGUAGUUGGAUUUGUGGCGUACGGUGUGUUCCGGGCACUUGUUGUCUGAGUAACCUGCUGUUGCCAUCCUUGGGUGGAACCUGUGUGGCAUUAGGUUGUCGUGCAGGGGAUGCCCAUCAUUUACUGUGAAAAAAUUAGAGUGUUCAAAGCAGGCUUAUGCCGUUGAAUAUAUUAGCAUGGAAUAAUGAGAUAGGACUUUUUUGCUAUUUUGUUGGUUUGCGCAAAGAGGUAAUGAUUAAUAGGGACAGUUGGGGGUAUUCGUAUUCCAUUGUCAGAGGUGAAAUUCUUGGAUUUUUGGAAGACGAACUGCUGCGAAAGCAUUUACCAAGGAUGUUUUCAUUAA